GAACGACACUAACAAUCCUUCGGGUGCGUUAAUGGGCGUCGAGCGGCGGACGGGUGAGUAAUGCCUAGGAAAUUGCCUUGAUGUGGGGGAUAACCAUUGGAAACGAUGGCUAAUACCGCAUGAUGCCUACGGGCCAAAGAGGGGGACCUUCGGGCCUCUCGCGUCAAGAUAUGCCUAGGUGGGAUUAGCUAGUUGGUGAGGUAAUGGCUCACCAAGGCGACGAUCCCUAGCUGGUCUGAGAGGAUGAUCAGCCACACUGGAACUGAGACACGGUCCAGACUCCUACGGGAGGCAGCAGUGGGGAAUAUUGCACAAUGGGCGCAAGCCUGAUGCAGCCAUGCCGCGUGUAUGAAGAAGGCCUUCGGGUUGUAAAGUACUUUCAGUUGUGAGGAAGGGGGUAACGUUAAUAGCGCUAUCUCUUGACGUUAGCAACAGAAGAAGCACCGGCUAACUCCGUGCCAGCAGCCGCGGUAAUACGGAGGGUGCGAGCGUUAAUCGGAAUUACUGGGCGUAAAGCGCAUGCAGGUGGUUCAUUAAGUCAGAUGUGAAAGCCCGGGGCUCAACCUCGGAACUGCAUUUGAAACUGGUGAACUAGAGUACUGUAGAGGGGGGUAGAAUUUCAGGUGUAG
rnacentral:rRNA from 1 species